UGUGGAGUCGAAGCUCUGCAGCUGAACGAACACCUUCUUCCAGGCUGCCUCCUUCCCGCGCAGGGCACGGGGCAGGACUGCAAAUAGAAGCCCACGUACCGUGUGUCUGGAUAUUUACAAGCUAUAAAUCAAGCUAAAAGCUGUUAAGUAAGCGCCAUCCUCCCACUUUGGCAACUGCACCUUCAUAAUGACAAUAUUUUUUUCAAAUAUAUUUUUUAAAAAAUUGGCUUCUGCUGCCCUGCCUCAAUUUGGGACACCUUUGAAGGGCUACCCCAACUCCUGUGCUCCCCAGGGGGGCCGAGGUCUCCGUUGUAACCACAUCAAGGACCAGCUUCUCCCUUUGCCCGCCUCUUGCCACGGUCCUCCUGGAACGUCUCUGGAGAAGGUGCCCCAGGAACCUUCUGUAGGUUGCAUCGUGAAUGGUGCCCCUGGAAUUGUCCGUGGUGCAGCCUGUGAAACCCCAUCCAGCCGCACUGGGAAGAAGGCUUAAAGCGAUGCGGUAGCAGCAAUGACGCUCCAAGGUCGUAACUCCAGCGGAAAAAGAGAAUUUCUCUUCCCUACCAAUUCCAGCCAAGCUCCUUGACUUACUCCAGUUGGCCCACCUCGAUCACCGGUCCACCUCUGAAGGAACUGCUGUGGCCGAGGAGAUGAAUAGCUCUGAUUGGUUAGCCCGGGUCCCACCUCCGGAGCUAGAGGAUGGCAUCACCCACCUAGAACCCCAGGGAUUAAGAGUGGGAGAAGAAUGGUUUCUCAGAAAAAUUAGGGGUGUUGUUACCAAAAGAAAGAGGGAUGGAUGUUGGCUUCACUAAUUGUUUGCUACCCUGUUAUCAGUCAUCUCAGAGACACAGCUUGGUUUCAGCAGCCAAGCAAGUCUUUGCUGAUGAAAACAGCUUAACCCAGUCCUGAUUCUACAGCAAAAGACUUCCAAAACAAGAGAUGGCUGCGGUCUUCUCCAACAGAUAAGCCACACAGACGCAGCUUCUGCCACUUACUGUCCUCUCAGUAGCUCUCACUGCGGUUUUCAAGUCUCGUAUUAGCCUGUCAGAAGGAAAGGAUUAACAAGUAUUUUGAUUUCUGUUGAAAACACGUUGUUUCAGAAAUAAAGUUGGCAUGGCAGGCA
rnacentral:lncRNA from 1 species